GCAAGUCGAGCGAACGGACGAGGGUGCUUGCACUCUCUGAUGUUAGCGGCGGACGGGUGAGUAACACGUGGGUAACCUACCUAUAAGACUGGGAUAACUUCGGGAAACCGGAGCUAAUACCGGAUAAUAUUUAGCUUCGCAUGAAGCAAUAGUGAAAGACGGUUCUGCUGUCACUUAUAGAUGGACCCGCGGUGUAUUAGCUAGUUGGUGAGGUAACGGCUCACCAAGGCAACGAUACAUAGCCGACCUGAGAGGGUGAUCGGCCACACUGGGACUGAGACACGGCCCAGACUCCUACGGGAGGCAGCAGUAGGGAAUCUUCCGCAAUGGACGAAAGUCUGACGGAGCAACGCCGCGUGAGUGAAGAAGGUUUUCGGAUCGUAAAACUCUGUUGUAAGGGAAGAACAAGUACGUUAGUAACUGAACGUACCUUGACGGUACCUUACCAGAAAGCCACGGCUAACUACGUGCCAGCAGCCGCGGUAAUACGUAGGUGGCAAGCGUUAUCCGGAAUUAUUGGGCGUAAAGCGCGCGUAGGCGGUCUCUUAAGUCUGAUGUGAAAGCCCCCGGCUCAACCGGGGAGGGUCAUUGGAAACUGGGAGACUUGAGUGCAGAAGAGGAGAGUGGAAUUCCAUGUGUAGCGGUGAAAUGCGCAGAGAUAUGGAGGAACACCAGUGGCGAAGGCGGCUCUCUGGUCUGUAACUGACGCUGAGGUGCGAAAGCGUGGGGAUCAAACAGGAUUAGAUACCCUGGUAGUCCACGCCGUAAACGAUGAGUGCUAAGUGUUGGGGGG
rnacentral:rRNA from 1 species